CGUAACAAGGUCUCCGUUGGUGAACCAGCGGAGGGAUCAUUACCGAGUUUACAACUCCCAAACCCCUGUGAACAUACCUUAUUGUUGCCUCGGCGGAUCAGCCCGCUCCCCGUAAAACGGGACGGCCCGCCAGAGGACCCAAACUCUAUUGUAUUUAGUGUAUCUUCUGAGUAACACAAACAAAUAAAUCAAAACUUUCAACAACGGAUCUCUUGGUUCUGGCAUCGAUGAAGAACGCAGCAAAAUGCGAUAAGUAAUGUGAAUUGCAGAAUUCAGUGAAUCAUCGAAUCUUUGAACGCACAUUGCGCCCGCCAGUAUUCUGGCGGGCAUGCCUGUUCGAGCGUCAUUUCAACCCUCAAACCCCCGGGUUUGGUGUUGGGGAUCGGAUUGCUAGUCAAUCCGUCUCCGAAAUCUAGUGGCGGUCUCGCUGCAGCCUCCAUUGCGUAGUAGCUAACACCUCGCAACUGGAACGCGGCGCGGCCAUGCCGUUAAACACCCAACUUCUGAAUGUUGACCUCGGAUCAGGUAGGAAUACCCGCUGAACUUAAGCAUAUCA
rnacentral:rRNA from 1 species